UACGUAGGUGGCAAGCGUUAUCCGGAUUUACUGGGUGUAAAGGGCGUGUAGGCGGCUUUGCAAGUCAGAAGUGAAAUUCUCGAGCUCAACUCGGGCGCUGCUUCUGAAACUGUAAAACUUGAGUACUGGAGGGGAAAGCGGAAUUCCUAGUGUAGCGGUAAAAUGCGCAGAUAUUAGGAGGAACACCGGUGGCGAAGGCGGCUUUCUGGACAGUAACUGACGCUGAGGCGCGAAAGCGUGGGGAGCAAACAGG
rnacentral:rRNA from 1 species